rfam:Capsicum annuum cultivar Zunla-1 chromosome 6, whole genome shotgun sequence
AUACUUACCUGGACGGGGUUAAUGGGUGAUCAAUAAGACCCAUGGCCUCGGCUGGCAACUUUCAUUGAACUUUGGAAAGGUGCCUGAAUGUGGUCGGCCCAAGUGGUUGAGCCAACGUCAUAAUUUGUGGUGAAGGGGGCUUGCUUUCGCAUGGCUCCUA